UCCUGCUUUCGCUUUUAUAGAUCUUUCCCUCCUGACCCACACCCAUUGAGAGAUCUCAUGAACUGAGAUCGCUGCUAAGUGGACUCUCAGGGAACUUUAGAGAAAGAUUCAAUGAUUUCAGAUGUACCAUACUCUAAAAUGUCCUGAAUCUUAGCAUCUGUGGCAGUUAUACCCCAGUGGCUGAAACAGAUUGAAAAAUGCUUCCACUUGGCUAAAUAAGCAGAUCUAGUGGUAUGCUGUCUGCUGUUCAGUAAAAUAUUUUGAACUGCCAAAGAACAAUGUUUCUCUAUUUCAUCAAGUCACUCAAUAGCCAGGGUGUAAGGUGCAGGCUGUUCAGGUCUGGGUGUAAUAAUUGACCAUGGUGUUGAGACAGUAGAUCUGGAAGUGUAGGCAGAGUCCAAGGAGGCCAAAUGGAGAGGCUGUGAAGAUCCAAGAACCAGCACUGUCUGAACCAUGCUGGGGGUUAUGAGAAUUAUUCUGGCAUGGGCUUGUUUUGAUAUGAGCAUCACCUGUGGGAUGAGGUGAGUGGAAAGGAAUGCAUACAUGAAGUAUGGUCCCCACCAAAGAAGAAAAGCAUCGGUCAACAAGCUUGGGCUGUGACCUGCUUGAAAGCAAAAUUGACAGCAUUUUCUUUUGUCAUUCAUUGCAAAUAUGUCAACCACCAGGAUUCCCCAGCCACAGAAGAUGGUUCUGAGCACACUGCACUUCAGAGACCACUUGUGAUCAUGAAAAAAUCUGCUGAGAUAUUGGCCAACAGGGAUCCCAGAAACUAUGCUCGGACAAACUAAUGUAUUGGAUGUUGUGGAGAACCAGUUGUUUGGAUCUGCAUCAAAUUAGCCAACCAUCCAGAUAUGGAAAGACAUGGAUCCUGUUUCUCCUCAGAUAGGCUGCCAUUUCUGUCAUGCAUUUUGUGAAUACUUACACAGCCAACAACGGCCAAAGGGAAGUACUGUGUACUGAUUAUGCAGCUUGCUAUCACAAAUCUUGGAAACAUCUUGUGACUUGGCAAAACUGCCACAUGGAAGUUGACAUCCUGCAAAUCGAGGGCACCAAACCAGCCGGUACAAUCUUGGGAAGGACUAAUCAGUACUAGAGACAAUGUGAGAACUUAUGUAUUUGAUGGACUUGUUGAGACUGUGAAGCUCUAGAAGGGAUCUCAUGUCUCCCUUAAAAUGUGGAAUCAGAAAGUAUUGUGAAUAACACCUCCUUCCCCAAUGUUGAAUCGGAACUUCCUCUACAGCCCCUAGAUAGAGCAGAGUCUGAACUUCUUGAAAAAGCACUGACUCAUGAGAGUGGUCCCUGAAGAAGGAUGGGGACGAUGGGUGAGGAUGUGGGGUAGGAAGAAACUGGAUUGAAUACUCAAUCCCACAGUAUUUAUGAUCAAUUUGUCCAUAGUUAUGGACUUCCAAGCACUGAGGAAAUGAGAUAAUAUACCCCCAAAUGGUGGGGAGAAAGAGGAUAGAUUGCUGAUGACUGUUUUGCUGUCCUUGAGUGGGAAGUCAAAUGGACUACUUCCCCAUAGCUGAUUAAGGAUGGGAUGCCAGUAUAGUGGUAGAAUUAGACUAUUUCCUACACUGAGAUUUAUAACUCUUCUUUGAAAAGCCUGUCUGUGUUGAUGGAUAAAAUAGCUGCCAAUAAUACCGCUGUUGCUGAGGCCUAUAUUGACAUUUCCUGGGUGUUGGAGUGAACAGUCACUUGAGAGUCUUACUUAAACAAAUGUAAAGUCUCGUCCAUUUUGUUAGAAAAUAAAAACUGAGUAUCAACGGGAA